rnacentral:lncRNA from 10 species
AUAGGUUUGAAUUAAAGUCUAUUUUAUCUGAUCUUGAAGAACUUUCUUCAGUAUUUCUGACUUUACAGACUCUUUUCAGUUGGGAAAGACCUUCCCUUAUAGGUGGGUGCAAAGACACAAGCUGAGAAGGUUAUGAUUGUUCUGGCUCCCGUAAGGACACUGCAGCAUAGUCUCAGUACAGCCCUGUCAGGAAAGUCGUGGCCAAAGGAAUCCCUCUUGGCACUGGUUCUGGCUUGAGAGCAUGCUUGCACCAGGGUCUAAUGCACAACACCUGUGGAGUGGCCAUGGCUCUGAGUUCUGAAGGAUAGGCAUGCAUGGAAGGAUCAUGAUUUGGGGGUCCAGGGCAGUAGUGGCACCAGUGCCUGGAGUGCUGGCACCCCAACUGCUGCAUUGGUGUGUGCAGGGUGCAGACUAGCCCAUAGGAGCAGUGUCUCCAAGACUGAUGUGUGAGCAUAUGCAGUGUAGCCACAGAGCUGGGGUCUGAAACACUGGCAAGCACAGAGCAACUGCAGAGCUGAGACCUGGAGUGUGGACACAGGCGGAGCAGCUGCAGCUCUGGAGUCAACGAGCAGGCCCCUGGAGACCACAGUGGCACUCCCCACGUGGCUGAUAAUGAUGUUCCCGCUUUCUUUGUUCCUAGACAUCUCCAAAUGUUUCAGAAACCAACCCUGAAUCCCAGAUAUGACACCAUUCUCCUGAAUGAUUCACCAGCUUCCUGUUGACAGCUUCCAUCACUGCACUGGACCACUUCCAUCAUGAAAGAGGAAGCACUUUGCUCUCAAUGGAAUAGACACUCUGGAUACAGAUUUGUCCUCCCUAUAGGAAAAAAUGAAAGAUACGAGUGAAGCAUGGAAGGAAGGAAGCAAGUAACCAAGAAAGAGAGAAAGGAAAGAAGGAAAAAGUUUGGAGAGAUGUAACAGCAAACUACAGUAUUUUCUCCGUUUCUCAGAGUCUCUUCCUUCAUGAGCCCACUCCUACUGCAACCAUUCCACCAAAAUAGCUCUGCCGAAGGUCCUUGCCAAAAUAAAUCUGCCAAAGGUAACCUCUGUUCCCAAGUGCAAAGGAUUUGUUCCAACCCCUAAAUUAUUGGAUGUUCUGGUAUAUUUAAUAUUGUCUCUUUGCAACUCACACUCCAAGCUUCUUUCCACCGCUUUCUCCUCCUUUCUUCAGUCUGGAGUUUUGUAGAAUUUGACCUUCAACCCUCUUCUUAUAAUAUAUUCACUGUAGCUGAACUCAUCAAGGGCCACAGUUUUUACCAUCAUUUCUUAUGUUAGGAAAUUGUUCAUCUGGCUCUCUAGACACACCUUGCCUAUUCAGAGUUAUACAGACAGAUGCCAGUUGGACAUUGUCCUGUGGAUGUUCCAGAGGUUCUUCAUCAAAUCCCUUGCCUUAUAGCAUACUUAGGCACAUUCUUUCUGGGUUCCUUUUUUGACACAUAUUGAGCCCCUAUGCUCCCACCAUACCAAACUGAUUUAUUUUUUUCCUCACAAACAUUGUGUUUCUUUCACUUCAGUGACUGAGUCCUGUAUGUUUUCAUGAAGCUUCUUGGAGAUGGCAUUCUCUUGGAAGCCUUUCUCUUGCUUCUAGGGAACUCUGUUUAACUCUACCUUAGCACUCAUCACAGAGGAUUAUUUGCUAGUUUCCUGACUACUAGGCUUUUAGCAACCAGGCAGCAAGGACUCUGUCUCUCACCUCUGUACCAACCAUGCAGCAGCAUCAGUCAAAGGCUUGUCAUACUAAGCAGUUCCCCAACAAAGGUUUGUUGGAUGGUGGGAGGACAAGUCACUAGGGCAGAAUGAAAUAGCAAAGAGGACACUAGCAGGGGAGGGCUGCUCUGUCUUACCUAACAUUCUCACCUUUCAUCUGUUCAACCAUCUUUGAGUAUUUGCCUCAUUUCCCUCAUUCAAUCAACAAUACCAUAAUUUCAUUUGAAGAUGGCAUGUAUUUACACAUAAAAUAACUUUUAGAAAUAUGAAUGGCUAUUAAAAUGAAAACACCACUUAUGUAGAAAACAGACUUAGUCAACUUUAUGUCUGUGUUACAUUGAUCCACAUCACAUUUUGAAAGAACUUUAUUUCUCUAGGUAUUAACUUCUUAAAUUUACUAAAGCAUGGACUUCUCUAUGACAAAAAGUAAAUUAUAAUGAAAUUUGAUAUUAACAUAUUGAGAUAUACUAUGAAAAUCCUUUAUGGGCUCCUUGAAACAUUUAUUAAAUUCAAUGAAAAUGAAUAGACAUAAAACUGAAUGGACUUGUGCCUGUUCUUUUAUAGCUCUUUAACCUGGUAGACCCACCUCUGAUUAUGAAACCACUGUGACAUAAAAAUGUGCAGCUGAAUUUCCCAACGGGUUCUGC